rnacentral:SRP_RNA from 1 species
GCCAGGUGUGGUGGGUCAUGCCUGUAGUCCCAGCUACUUGGGAGGCUGAGACAGGAGAAUCGCCUGAGCCCAGGAGUUUGAGGCUGCAGUGAGCUAGGAUUGCACCACUGCACUCUGGUCUGGGCAACAAUGUGAGAUCCUGUCUCAA